rnacentral:rRNA from 1 species
UAGGGAAUCUUCGGCAAUGGACGAAAGUCUGACCGAGCAACGCCGCGUGAGUGAAGAAGGUUUUCGGAUCGUAAAACUCUGUUGUUAGAGAAGAACAAGGACGUUAGUAACUGAACGUCCCCUGACGGUAUCUAACCAGAAAGCCACGGCUAACUACGUGCCAGCAGCCGCGGUAAUACGUAGGUGGCAAGCGUUGUCCGGAUUUAUUGGGCGUAAAGCGAGCGCAGGCGGUUUCUUAAGUCUGAUGUGAAAGCCCCCGGCUCAACCGGGGAGGGUCAUUGGAAACUGGGAGACUUGAGUGCAGAAGAGGAGAGUGGAAUUCCAUGUGUAGCGGUGAAAUGCGUAGAUAUAUGGAGGAACACCGGUGGCGAAGGCGGCUCUCUGGUCUGUAACUGACGCUGAGGCUGGAAAGCGUGGGGAGCAAACAGG